rnacentral:rRNA from 1 species
UACGGAGGGUGCAAGCGUUAUCCGGAUUCACUGGGUUUAAAGGGUGCGUAGGCGGAUAGGUAAGUCCGUGGUGAAAUCCUGCAGCUUAGCUGCAGAACUGCCAUGGAUACUAUUUAUCUUGAAUGUCGUGGAGGUUAGCAGAAUAUGUCAUGUAGCGGUGAAAUGCUUAGAUAUGACAUAGAAUACCCAUUGCGAAGGCAGCUAACUACGCGAUAAUUGACGCUGAUGCACGAAAGCGUGGGGAUCAAACAGG